UACGUAGGGUGCAAGUGUUGUCCGGAAUUAUUGGGCGUAAAGAGCUCGUAGGCGGUCUGUCGCGUCUGCUGUGAAAAUCCAGGGCUCAACCCUGGACCUGCAGUGGGUACGGGCAGACUAGAGUGCGGUAGGGGAGAUCGGAAUUCCUGGUGUAGCGGUGAAAUGCGCAGAUAUCAGGAGGAACACCGGUGGCGAAGGCGGGUCUCUGGGCCGAUACUGACGCUGAGGAGCGAAAGCGUGGGGAGCAAACAGG
rnacentral:rRNA from 1 species